GACGAACGCUGGCGGCGUGCCUAAUACAUGCAAGUCGAGCGGACGAAUCGAAAGCUUGCUUUUGAUUCGUUAGCGGCGGACGGGUGAGUAACACGUGGGCAGCCUGCCCUGUAGACGGGGAUAACACCGAGAAAUCGGUGCUAAUACCGGAUAACACGAAAUGUCGCAUGACGUUUCGUUGAAAGACGGCGCAAGCUGUCGCUACAGGAUGGGCCCGCGGCGCAUUAGCUAGUUGGUGAGGUAACGGCUCACCAAGGCGACGAUGCGUAGCCGACCUGAGAGGGUGAUCGGCCACACUGGGACUGAGACACGGCCCAGACUCCUACGGGAGGCAGCAGUAGGGAAUCUUCCGCAAUGGACGAAAGUCUGACGGAGCAACGCCGCGUGAGCGAAGAAGGCCUUCGGGUCGUAAAGCUCUGUUGUUAGGGAAGAACAAGUAACGCAGUAACUGGCGUUACCGUGACGGUACCUAACGAGAAAGCCACGGCUAACUACGUG
rnacentral:rRNA from 1 species